CCUACGGGUGGCUGCAGUGGGGAAUAUUGCACAAUGGGCGCAAGCCUGAUGCAGCCAUGCCGCGUGUGUGAAGAAGGCCUUCGGGUUGUAAAGCACUUUCAGCGGGGAGGAAGGCGGUGAGGUUAAUAACCUCAUCGAUUGACGUUACCCGCAGAAGAAGCACCGGCUAACUCCGUGCCAGCAGCCGCGGUAAUACGGAGGGUGCAAGCGUUAAUCGGAAUUACUGGGCGUCAAGCGCACGCAGGCGGUCUGUCAAGUCGGAUGUGAAAUCCCCGGGCUCAACCUGGGAACUGCAUUCGAAACUGGCAGGCUAGAGUCUUGUAGAGGGGGGUAGAAUUCCAGGUGUGGCGGUGAAAUGCGUAGAGAUCUGGAGGAAUACCGGUGGCGAAGGCGGCCCCCUGGACAAAGACUGACGCUCAGGUGCGAAAGCGUGGGGAGCAAACAGGAUUAGAUACCCCUGUAGUC
rnacentral:rRNA from 1 species